rfam:Sphingobacterium sp. 21, complete genome.
UGUUUUUUUUAGGCACGGAGUAAAGCUAGCUGUGAGAAGUCAGCCGAAGCCAUAGUACUCAAUUACGCCCGGAUUGGGGAAGGGC